rnacentral:piRNA from 1 species
GGCUGGAGUGCCGGGGUGUGAUCUCGG